rnacentral:rRNA from 1 species
UAUGGCGCACGGGUGAGUAAUGUAUAGUUAAUCUGCCCUAUGCUGGAGGACAACAGUUAGAAAUGACUGCUAAUACUCCAUACUCCUUCUUAACACAAGUUAAGUUGGGAAAGUUUUUUCGGCAUAGGAUGAGACUAUAUUGUAUCAGCUAGUUGGUGAGGUAAUGGCUCACCAAGGCUAUGACGCAUAACUGGUCUGAGAGGCUGAUCAGUCACACUGGAACUGAGACACGGUCCAGACUCCUACGGGAGGCAGCAGUAGGGAAUAUUGCUCAAUGGGGGAAACCCUGAAGCAGCAACGCCGCGUGGAGGAUGACACUUUUCGGAGCGUAAACUCCUUUUCUUAGGGAAGAAAUUUGACGGUACCUAAGGAAUAAGCACCGGCUAACUCCGUGCCAGCAGCCGCGGUAAUACGGAGGGUGCAAGCGUUACUCGGAAUCACUGGGCGUAAAGGACGCGUAGGCGGAUUAUCAAGUCUUUUGUGAAAUCUAAUGGCUCAACCAUUAAACUGCUUGAGAAACUGAUAAUCUAGAGUGAGGGAGAGGCAGAUGGAAUUGGUGGUGUAGGGGUAAAAUCCGUAGAGAUCACCAGGAAUACCCAUUGCGAAGGCGAUCUGCUAGAACUCAACUGACGCUAAUGCGUGAAAGCGUGGGGAGCAAACAGGAUUAGAUACCCUGGUAGUCCACGCCCUAAACGAUGUAUACUAGUUGUUGCUAUGCUAGUCAUGGCAGUAAUGCACCUAACGGAUUAAGUAUACCGCCUGGGGAGUACGGUCGCAAGAUUAAAACUCAAAGGAAUAGACGGGGACCCGCACAAGCGGUGGAGCAUGUGGUUUAAUUCGAAGAUACGCGAAGAACCUUACCUGGGCUUGAUAUCCUAAGAACCUUGUAGAGAUACGAGGGUGCUAGCUUGCUAGAACUUAGUGACAGGUGCUGCACGGCUGUCGUCAGCUCGUGUCGUGAGAUGUUCGGUUAAGUCCGGCAACGAGCGCAACCCACGUAUUUAGUUGCUAACAGUUUGGCUGAGCACUCUAAAUAUACUGCCUUCGUAAGGAGGAGGAAGGUGUGGACGACGUCAA